GCAGAUUGUCAGAUCGAGGGCCACAGCCCCCUGCUGGCUGUCUCCGUGGGCCUCAGCCCCCUGCUGGCUGUCUCCGUGGGCCUCAGCCCCCUGCUGGCUGUCUCCGUGGGCCACCCUGAGUGCUUACUGUUGGCGGUAGCAAGCACCAGGUCAGCACACUUGAAGUUCAUCCCCAAAUCUUGUAAAUCUUUGGUCAUGACUGCCAAAGGCCCUGAGAUAUAACUGAAAUCAAAGUGGUAUUCUGGGUAAAUAAGUGACAGGCUGGGUGGAGUAGAGACUCUAAAAGUUUAACACCGUGGCUAGGAUAGAAGGCAGGAGGAAAUCCCACAGCAGGAUGUCUUUGGCUCCGUCUCUGGCUACAUUGUGUGAGCUCGAUUUGUUGCAUGCUCUUAAGGACCUUCACUAUUCUGCUGCUUCUGCUGAGAAGCAAAGGGGACUGUUACCUCGGGCCGAGCAUCGUGUAAAGUGGGCUCCAGGAGCGUAGGAGAGGCUGGUCACUGGGCAGAACAGCUUUUACUGGGCUCCUGGCCCUGAGAGGAGACGACAGUGAAGACUGAAUCCAGUGACUGCUGUCCUUGUCAGAAGAGAGAGCUUUGAAACUGAGCCACACAAAGAGAAGGACGGGCCGGACACCGUGAGUCUACACUGUGAAGCCGGAAGACUGGGCCACCAGAAGCUGCAAGGGACAAUGGAGGGACCUGAUCUCCAGCCUCCCCGGAGAACGUGUCCCCAACAACCCUGUGGCUUCAGUCGCCUGACCUCUGGAAGCAGGACAAACAGGAUAGCUCACUGCUGUUCUCAGCUACGACUCUCACCCAGCCAAGGGGGAGAGCGUGGUGCUGACACUGUCACCUCCUAGUGUGAGUGACCCCAGUAUUCCUCAUGAUCCCACACUGCAGAGAAAACCCUGAAGCUCAUACUGCUAACUGUAUAGGUAGAUUUCUUUUUAAACAGCCUAUUUCUACAUGCUUAGAACUCCAGGUUCAAAAUAUCCAGGAAAAUAUCAUCUGAUGGCUCCGGUGAGAGGGAAAAGAGGAAAGAAACAGAAGUAGGAAAAAGUCGUUUUAAAAUCUCUGCAAGGUUUCUAUUUUGUGUUUGGUUUGGCAAGGUUUUAUUGAGAUUUAGUAGGGAAGGGGGGUCUCAAAAAUUAGGUGCCCCUGUGUGAGAUUUCUUAAAACUUAUUUGUUUGUUUGUUGGAGAGGGUACAUGUGCAUACAGAGGUCAGAGGAAAAAAUCUAUGGAAAUUAGUUCUCUCCUUCCGUGAUGUGGGUCCUGAGGCUGGAGCUCGGGUCAUCUGCCUUGGUGACAAGGGCUAUUAUCUGCUGAGGCACCUCGUCAGUCCUUGAGUGAACUUUCAGCUUUUGCCUUCCUUUCAUCAGAGAGAAAACAGUGGAUGACAUUCCUAGUGUUCUGUCAACGGUGGAGUGACUUCCACCAGCACUGGACAGUAUCUUCUAACCAACAGUCACAUAAUGAAAAUGAAACAUGGAUUUGUGGAUAAGUUUGAUAAAUAUCCGUGGGAUUUUAGUGUUUUUGCUACAUUGCUACCACUGGGAGUUUGGGUACAAAUCCAAUUCUUGGAUCUCCACGUGUUUCAUUUUUGUUAAGUGACUUUGGACUGUAGAGCUGCGCUGUCCUCUUUAAUAUGAGUGAAUGGAAAAUAAGACAGGGGCUGGGCACGGUGGCCUAGAUGCUUAAUGCCAGCACUCAGGAGGCAGAGACUGGCAGGACUCUGUGAGUUCACCUUGGCAAGGCUGAGGGUGUCCCUCAGAGACACACCGCCUGGCCAGCAUGCACAGGCCCUUGUGGUUCCCAGCACUAAGAAGGCACACGAUUAUAAUCAGCGGUACAGGCAUGGACAUGGAGCCUCGUUGACCAAUGAAGGGCCAGAGGGGACCGAGCCCCGGGCUCCAGUUCCAGCCAGGACCCCUGGACUGCCUCUGCAACAUCACCAGCUGCCACACCCUCCCACGGCCCCACAACCUACUUAUUGGACCACCUUCCCCAUGACGGACUGAGCCCCGCAAACUCCGAUCCAAAACAAGCCCGUCUUCCCUGAGGUUUGUCUCCCGUGCAAUGUCCACAGCAACAGCAUGAGUAACGAAUAAAGGGCUUAUUUGGGCUUUUUCCUAGACACAAAAUCCGAAGCAGACUCAUGUACGAAUGCCACUUUAAAGACAACGAUUAUUAUUAUACUUGCCAGGAAAUAAUUUGGGAGACUCGAGCCAAAGAUAAAUACAAAAUGGCUCAUUCUUUCUCUCAUUCAAAUUCUUGCCUGCGUGUGCUUUAUAAUCUCUUAGAGGCUGUGGAAAAAGUCUAUCAUGCAGGGAAAUAACUGUCAUGAUGGGGUCAAAAUUGUGUGGGAGUGUGCUUGUGUGAGUCACUCUGAUGGUCACAAGAACAGACCACAGGGCCCACAGGACAGGGACUGUGCAUCUGGGGAGCGGAGAUGCUAACGGACGGCCAGCCCGAGGCGAUCGGUCCUGACAGUGCGUCCUGGUGUCUCACUGUCUGCGGCUCCGGGCCAUCUGAGCAGCCCAGACUUUCCUCCUACCUUUGCACUCUCGUCUGACUGCUGUUGUCAUCUGUUCCCUUUGGGCUGUUAGCCACUUUCAAAGACCCGGCUGGGCCUUACGGAAGAUGACAGCCAGGCAGAGACAGGGCACAGCCGGAAGCAGUUCUCACUGUAAAGAGAGAGAAGGGCGCUAUGAAAUUUAGAAUUGUACAAUCCUUAGUUGUGCGAUUAAGAAUUCUUACAGUGCUUAAAAAAAUAGAAUUGUGUGCUUCUCCACCCGCUCCGCGGCCAGCAAAGCUAACUCUCCAUGACUGCAGCAUAUUCCAAAGACCUGCGUAGAGUACCAAGGGUCCCCAGGCAUUUGAGCUCAAGAGCAGUGCAAACACAGCACUUCCCGUUUUUAUUACUAAAGCAAGCAAAACAAGGAGUGACAUUUACAGUUGGCCUAAGCAAACACAAGCACAGCCAGGGAGUGCACCUGGAGAUACGUCUCAUCACCUUUGGUGGUGUGAAAAGAGCCAAGAACUUUCCUCCCAGGCCCUUGCUUUUCCCACAGACAAUACGGACACGCGGGGUAUGACCGUCACGUCCUUGCUUCCGGGUGCAUCUACAGCUCAAGCACUUCUUCCUGGAAGGCCACCUUGUAAGUGCGCGGUUCCUGCCCCAUCCAUGGUUCCCAGUGAGUUCCCAGUCUUCUUACACACACACACACACACACACACACACACACACACACACACACACACACAGCUAAUGCCCAGGAGUGUGCUCCAGGCCUCUCAGGACACGCAGCAAUCUUCACUCUUAGGAAUUACACACCAAGUUCACAAGCCUGCUCAGAGUCAUUCGGUCCCAUCAAGAUCCUGGUUGGGGUUGGAGCGAUGACUCAGCUGAGCUCUUGUGGCUCCUCAGAUGACCCGCAUUUCAGUCCCCAGCCCCUGUGUCAGGCAGCUCACGACUGCCUGAAACCCAGUUCCAGGGGAAUCCAAAGCUCUUUUCUGGGCCCCACGCAUGAAUACACUAACUCAUAUACAAAAAAGUUGUAAAUUAAGCUAACUAAAUAAAAAAAUUUAAAGCGUUAA